UGGUGGAAACUAGUCAUUACAUCUUCCACCUCCAGACAGUGAAUAACAUUGAACCACAUUAACAACACAUUGACUUUGCCUGAUACUUGAUAUUAGAUUGAAUAAUCUGACUGUGACUAUUGAUAUCUCAUUGACAUUUCCUCUCUAUGUUCUGCUCUCAUCAACACCACCUGUUUCUCUGUCUAAUGUUGUCCUCCCUCCUCCCUCCCUCUGAGAUGGUAGAAACCCAGAGGUACAGUACAGUAGAGACGAGCUAAAUGUAGCAUCACUGUUACAUUAUGCCUGAGUACUGUCUCUGGGUGUUCUAGGUGAUGUGAUGUUCUCUGGUGUUGUCUCUGGGUGUUCUAGGUGAUGUGAUGUUCUCUGGUGUUGCUCUGGGUGUUCUAGGUGAUGUGAUGUUCUCUGGUGUUGCUCUGGGUGUUCUAGGUGUUGUGAUGUUCUCUGGUGUUGUUCUGGGUAUUCUAGGUGUUGUGAUGUUCUCUGGUGUUGUUCUGGGUGUUGUUCUACUACUGCUGGGUCUGCUGCUGUUCAUGUUCUUCAGACAGAGGAGAGACAGAGACAGGAGACCAACAGCAUCCAAACACUCUGCCAGCCUGUUGGUGCCUGACUCCAUGACAACCAACCUAGAUCCAGACACAGGAACCAUCACUAACCCCAUCUACGCCACUACAACCAAUCAGAACCCAGAUACAGCCUGUGACAUCACCACCAUCUAUACCAACGCAACCAAUCCUCGUCGAGAUGACAUCCACUUCAACUUUGGUCCGUCCACAGAGGUUCCAGACAAUGUGACCUACGCUACUGUCAACUUCCCCUGACAUCCAGCCUGUCUCCACUAUGCUACUGUCAACUUCCCCAGAGAUCCAGCCUGUCUCCACUAUGCUACUGUCAACUUCCCCAGAGAUCCAGCCUGUCUCCACUAUGCUACUGUCAACUUCCCCUGACAUCCAGCCUGUCUCCACUAUACUACUGUCAACUUCCCCAGAGAUCCAGCCUGACUCCACUAUACUACUGUCAACUUCCCCAGAGAUCCAGCCUGUCUCCACGAUACUACUGUCAACUUCCCCAGAGAUCCAGCCUGUCUCCACUAUGCUACUGUCAACUUCCCCAGAGAUCCAGCCUGUCUCCACUAUGCUACUGUCAACUUCCCCAGAGAUCCAGCCUGUCUCCACUAUGCUACUGUCAACUUCCCCAGAGAUCCAGCCUGUCUCCACUAUACUACUGUCAACUUCCCCAGAGAUCCAGCCUGUCUUCACUAUACUAUUGUCAACUUCCCCAGAGAUCCAGCCUGUCUCCACUAUACUACUGUCAACUUCCCCAGAGAUCCAGCCUGACUCCACUAUACUACUGUCAACUUCCCCAGAGAUCCAGCCUGGCUCCACUAUGAUACUGUCAACUUCCCCAGAGAUCCAGCCUGUCUCCACUAUGCUACUGUCAAAUUCCCAAUAGAUCCAGCCUGUCUCCACUAUGCUACUGUCAACUUCCCCAGAGAUCCAGCCUGACUCCACUAUGCUACUGUCUCCUUCAGUAAAGACUCUGAUGCUAGUAACCACCUAGACACUGACCCAACAGCUGUACACCUCAUAAUGUACUGCACCAUUAAACACUCUGCUACAUAGUCUACUACUGUAGACACCUCAUAAUGUACUGCACCAUUAAACACUCUGCUACAUAGUCUACUACUGUAGACACCUCAUAAUGUACUGCACCAUUAAACACUCUGCUACAUAGUCUACUACUGUAGACACCUCAUAAUGUACUGCACCAUUAAACACUCUGCUACAUAGUCUACUACUGUAGACACCUCAUAAUGUACUGCACCAUUAAACACUCUGCUACAUAGUCUACUACUGUAGACACCUCAUAAUGUACUGCACCAUUAAACACUCUGUUACAUAGGCUACUACUGUAGACACCUCAUAAUGUACUGCACCAUUAAACACUCUGCUACAUAGUCUACUACUGUAGACACCUCAUAAUGUACUGCACCAUUA